CGAACGCUGGCGGCGUGCUUACCACAUGCAAGUCGAACGGAAAGGCCCUGCUUUUGUGGGGUGCUCGAGUGGCGAACGGGUGAGUAACACGUGAGUAACCUGCCCUUGACUUUGGGAUAACUUCAGGAAACUGGGGCUAAUACCGGAUAGGAGCUCCUGCUGCAUGGUGGGGGUUGGAAAGUUUCGGCGGUUGGGGAUGGACUCGCGGCUUAUCAGCUUGUUGGUGGGGUAGUGGCUUACCAAGGCUUUGACGGGUAGCCGGCCUGAGAGGGUGACCGGCCACAUUGGGACUGAGAUACGGCCCAGACUCCUACGGGAGGCAGCAGUGGGGAAUAUUGCACAAUAGACGGAAGCCUGAUGCAGCAACUCCGCGGGCGGGAUGACGGCCUUCGGGUUGGAAACCGCUUUCGCCUGUGACGAAGCGUGAGUGACGGUAAUGGGUAAAGAAGCACCGGCUAACUACGUG
rnacentral:rRNA from 1 species